CCUCUCGUGGCGUAGGGGUAACGCGUCCUAUAUGGCGAACAGGGAGUCGUUAGUUCGAUUCUCACCGAGAAGA
rfam:Aedes aegypti strain Liverpool supercont1.30 genomic scaffold, whole genome shotgun sequence.